AAGAGCGCGAUGUAUGCAAUGCACAAAGUUUUGUCUCUUUUGUAAUGGCGGCUCGCGUUUGAUUUGACUUUUCCUACAUUUUAUAUUUUCUAGUGAAACCAGUAAAACCUUGAUAGCCACAGCCACAGCAACAUCAAAAAAAUUUUUCGCUGCUCCAUUUGAAGAAUAAAAAUAAAAACAAUUUAAUUAAAAAAAAUAUAUAAUCUUCUCAGUGUUGAGUGUUAUUUGUGAAAACUAUUUUCUCUAAACAAUAUCUACCACACAAAUUCUUCGGCACGCCACAAAAAUUUAUUUCCACCAUCAAAAUGCACAGCCUCAGCCUUGUGCAUUUAGAAAAAAAAAGUAAUACAAAAAUGAUACAAAAACAACCACCAAUUGAUUUGGAAAAUAAAGUGGCGAUCAAUUCCAGACAUCAUUGACUGAGUUUACAGCAGCUUCAGCCUUGAGCAUUUAGAAAAAAAAAAAUCAAAACAA